rnacentral:rRNA from 1 species
CGGGGGGGGCAAGCGUUGUUCGGAAUUACUGGGCGUAAAGGGCGCGUAGGCGGUUUGCUAAGUUGGAUGUGAAAACUCUGGGCUUAACCCAGAGCCUGCAUCCAAAAACUGGCAAACUUGAGUACUGGAGGGGAAAGCGGAAUUCCUGGUGUAGCGGUGAAAUGCGUAGAUAUCAGGAGGAACACCGGUGGCGAAGGCGGCUUUCUGGACAGUAACUGACGCUGAGGCGCGAAAGCUAGGGGAGCAAACAGGAUUAGAUACCCUGGUAGUCCUAGCCCUAAACGAUGGAUACUUGGUGUGAGGGGGAUUGAAUCCCUCGUGCCGUAGCUAACGCAAUAAGUAUCCCGCCUGGGGAGUACGGUCGCAAGGCUG